AGAGUUUGAUCAUGGGCUCAGAGCGAACGCUGGCGGCAGGCUUAACACAUGCAAGUCAACGGGCGUAGCAAUACGUCAGUGGCAGACGGGUGAGUAACACGUGGGAACGUACCUUUUGGUUCGGAACAACUGAGGGAAACUUCAGCUAAUACCGGAUAAGCCCUUACGGGGAAAGAUUUAUCGCCGAAAGAUCGGCCCGCGUCUGAUUAGCUAGUUGGUGGGGUAAGAGCCCACCAAGGCGACGAUCAGUAGCUGGUCUGAGAGGAUGAUCAGCCACAUUGGGACUGAGACACGGCCCAAACUCCUACGGGAGGCAGCAGUGGGGAAUAUUGGACAAUGGGCGAAAGCCUGAUCCAGCCAUGCCGCGUGAGUGAUGAAGGCCCUAGGGUUGUAAAGCUCUUUAACGGGGAAGAUAAUGACGGUACCCGUAGAAUAAGCCCCGGCUAACUUCGUG
rnacentral:rRNA from 1 species